UGAGACCGGCGCACGGGUGCGUAACGCGUAUACAAUCUACCUUUUACAGAGGGAUAGCCCAGAGAAAUUUGGAUUAAUACCUCAUAGUAUUUUUGAAUCGCAUGAUUUGAUUAUUAAAGUUCCAACGGUAAAAGAUGAGUAUGCGUCCCAUUAGCUAGAUGGUAAGGUAACGGCUUACCAUGGCAACGAUGGGUAGGGGUCCUGAGAGGGAGAUCCCCCACACUGGUACUGAGACACGGACCAGACUCCUACGGGAGGCAGCAGUGAGGAAUAUUGGACAAUGGGCGCAAGCCUGAUCCAGCCAUGCCGCGUGCAGGAAGAAGGUCCUAUGGAUUGUAAACUGCUUUUAUACAGGAAGAAACACCUCUACGUGUAGAGACUUGACGGUACUGUAUGAAUAAGGACCGGCUAACUCCGUGCCAGCAGCCGCGGUAAUACGGAGGGUCCAAGCGUUAUCCGGAAUCAUUGGGUUUAAAGGGUCCGUAGGCGGCCAAAUAAAUCAGUGGUGAAAGCCCAUCGCUCAACGAUGGAACGGCCAU
rnacentral:rRNA from 1 species